GAAUAUUGCACAAUGGGCGCAAGCCUGAUGCAGCAAUGCCGCGUGAACGAAGAAGGAUUUCGGUCUGUAAAGUUCUUUUCUGUGUGACGAGAGUGGACGGUAGCACAGGAAUAAGUCUCGGCUAACUACGUGCCAGCAGCCGCGGUAAGACGUAGGAGGCGAGCGUUAUCCGGAGUUACUGGGCGUAAAGCGCGUGUAGGCGGAUUAGUAAGUUACUUAUGAAAGCUCCUGGCUAAACUGGGAGAGGUUGAGUGAUACUGCUAGUCUAGAGUGGAUGAGAGGUUAACGGAAUUCCGCGUGUAGUGGUGAAAUGCGUAGAGAUGCGGAAGAACACCAGUGGCGAAGGCGGUUAACUGGCAUCCAACUGACGCUCAGACGCGAAAGCAUGGGUAGCGAACGGG
rnacentral:rRNA from 1 species